rnacentral:tRNA from 1 species
GGUCUGGUGGUCUAGUGGUAUGAUUCUCGCUUAGGGUACACCCUACAGCCUCGUUGCGAGAGGUCCCGAGUUCAAUCCUCGGCCAGACCC